rnacentral:rRNA from 1 species
AUACGUAGGGUGCGAGCGUUGUCCGGAAUUACUGGGCGUAAAGAGCUCGUAGGUGGUUUGUCGCGUCGUCUGUGAAAUUCCGGGGCUUAACUCCGGGCGUGCAGGCGAUACGGGCAUAACUUGAGUACUGUAGGGGAGACGGGAAUUCCUGGUGUAGCGGUGAAUUGCGCAGAUAUCAGGAGGAACACCGGUGGCGAAGGCGGGUCUCUGGGCAGUAACUGACGCUGAGGAGCGAAAGCAUGGGUAGCGAACAGGAUUAGAUACCCUGGUAGUCCAUGCCGUAAACGGUGGGCGCUAGGUGUAGGGGUCCUCCACGACUUCUGUGCCGUAGCUAACGCAUUAAGCGCCCCGCCUGGGGAGUACGGCCGCAAGGCUAAAACUCAAAGGAAUUGACGGGG